rnacentral:rRNA from 1 species
ACGGGAGUGGCAAGCGUUAUCCGGAAUUAUUGGGCGUAAAGCGUCCGCAGGCGGCCUUUCAAGUCUGCUGUUAAAGCGUGGAGCUUAACUCCAUUAUGGCAGUGGAAACUGAUCGGCUUGAGUAUGGUAGGGGCAGAGGGAAUUCCCGGUGUAGCGGUGAAAUGCGUAGAUAUCGGGAAGAACACCAGUGGCGAAGGCGCUCUGCUGGGCCAUUACUGACGCUCAUGGACGAAAGCCAGGGGAGCGAAAGGG